rnacentral:tRNA from 1 species
GGGGUUGUAGCUCAGUGGUAGAGCACUUGCCUAGCAUGCAAGCGGACUUGGGUUCCAUCCCCAGCAGUGUCC